rnacentral:siRNA from 1 species
CCAUUGGACCAUGAGUACGUUGC